rnacentral:lncRNA from 1 species
CAAUAUCACCCCUAUAUCACCAUUAUCACCCCAGUAUCACCUCAAUAUCACCAAUAUUCCCCUAGAAUCACCCCAAUAUCAUCAAUAUCACCCCAAUAUCACCACUAUCACCCCAAUAUCACCCAAUAUCACCCCAAUAUCACCAUUAUCACCCCAAUAUCACCCCAAUAUCACCAAUAUUCCCCUAGAAUCACCCCAAUAUCAUCAAUAUCACCCCAAUAUCACCCCAGUAUAACCACAAUAUAACCACUAUCACCCCAAUAUCACCCCAAUAUCACCAUUAUCACCCCAAUAUCACCCAAUAUCACCCCUAUCACCUCAAUAUCACCCACUAUCACCCCAUUAUCACGACUAUCACCCCAACAUGGCGCCGCGUUCCCCUAUACCGUCACUGUGUGUCUCUAUGGGGCUCAGUGUGCGUUAUAUCCCGCAAUGCACCUUGCCGCCGAGCAAUGUGAUGGUAGAGAAGCCAAGUCCUGCAGCUCCAUCCAGCAGCUCUUGGUCCAAGGCAGCAACAGAGCAGAAGAGCUUCUUCAUGUGGGUCGAUGUGACCACAACGAGGAGCUCCAGCAAAUACCUGCUGCCUCCCAGUGCCAGCCCUUAUAUGAGCACCAGGAGGGGGCGGAGCCAGCCCUGCAGCCAAUCGGAUGCGUUGCCUGCACUUGGGCUGUACUGCUGUGUCUCCGCCCCAUCAUGGCUCCCAACCAUGACUAAGCAUUUCUAUUAUAUCACCCUGAUUAUAUAAUAAUUAUCAUCGCCCCCAUCACCCCCCAUCGUUCCAAUGUCCCCCCAGCAUCAACCCCAGAGCGGUGCCCACAGUGUCACCCCAUUGCGACCCUGAGAUCUGCACCCCCAUGUCCAUAUACUGUGCUGUUGUUUCUUCUCUAUCCACAACCCUCCCCUUUAAGAACUAAUAAAUGUAAUUAUUCACCUGUUACUGCUUUGUUU